rnacentral:rRNA from 1 species
UCGAGGAUCUUCGGCAAUGGGCGAAAGCCUGACCGAGCGACGCCGCGUGCGGGAUGAAGGCCCUCGGGUUGUAAACCGCUGUCAGUGGGGAGGAAGGCUCUGUGAAGAGCAGGGUUUGACCUAUCCGCAGAGGAAGUCCGGGCUAAGUUCGUGCCAGCAGCCGCGGUAACACGAACCGGACAAACGUUAUUCGGAAUCACUGGGCUUAAAGGGUGCGUAGGCGGUCUGACAAGUUGGGUGUGAAAUCCCUCGGCUCAACCGAGGAAUUGCGCUCAAAACUGUUGGACUCGAGGGAGUUAGAGGUAAGCGGAACUUAGGGUGGAGCGGUGAAAUGCGUUGAUAUCCUAAGGAACACCAGUGGCGAAAGCGGCUUACUGGAGCUCUUCUGACGCUGAGGCACGAAAGCUAGGGGAGCGAACGG